rnacentral:rRNA from 1 species
UACGUAGGGUGCAAGCGUUAAUCGGAAUUACUGGGCGUAAAGCGUGCGCAGGCGGUGAUGUAAGACAGAUGUGAAAUCCCCGGGCUCAACCUGGGAACUGCAUUUGUGACUGCAUCGCUGGAGUACGGCAGAGGGGGAUGGAAUUCCGCGUGUAGCAGUGAAAUGCGUAGAGAUGUGGAGGAACACCGAUGGCGAAGGCAGCCUCCUGGGCCAGUACUGACGCUCAUGCACGAAAGCGUGGGGAGCAAACAGG